GACGAACCGUGCGAACGUUGUUCGGAUUCACUGGGCUUAAAGGGCGCGUAGGCGGUACGCCAAGUCUGGGGUGAAAUCUUUCGGCUCAACCGGAAAAUUGCCUGGGAUACUGGCGUGCUCGAGGGAGGUAGGGGCAGCGGGAACUGCCAGUGGAGCGGUGAAAUGCGUUGAUAUUGGCAGGAACGCCGGUGGCGAAAGCGCGUUGCUGGACCUCUUCUGACGCUGAGGCGCGAAAGCCAGGGGAGCAAACGGG
rnacentral:rRNA from 1 species